GCUGCUUACAGCAUUCGUAGGCUUCUCCGAUUCGAUGGUUGUGGUGUCUGCUGCAGUGCUUGGAGUCCUCAGGAAGCGCUAGGAGCAUCCUUCAACGGAGGUACCCAGUCGGGGUGCCAGGUGAUCCGCUACAGAGGUGUUCCCUAGGUUUAGGGGAACAUCCAGAAAAUGAGGAGAAAUGUGUCCUGCAUAAUAAGGGGAGGCGAUGUGGGGGUGGCAACUCAUAUAUGAUUG